rnacentral:rRNA from 1 species
UACAGGGGGUGCAAACGUUGCUCGGAAUCAUUGGGCGUAAAGCGCACGUAGGCGGUCUGUUAUGUCGGAUGUGAAAGCCCUUGGCUUAACUGAGGAAGUGCAUCCGAAACUGGCAGGCUAGAGUACUAAAGAGGGUCGCGGAAUUCCCGGUGUAGAGGUGAAAUUCGUAGAUAUCGGGAGGAACACCGGUGGCGAAGGCGGCGACCUGGGUAGAUACUGACGCUGAGGUGCGAAAGCGCGGGGAGCAAACAGG